rnacentral:lncRNA from 1 species
CCAAGACUGACAUCUCCUUUUGGACAUGCUUUUCUUGGGAGAAAGGGGGUCAGAUUAGGACUUAGUUGGGGGUUCGGGGAUGGAAAAUGGAGGCCAGAGAAGAGUUCAGACCCACCCCAGGUGGGUGCUCAUGAUGUAACCCCAGAGAGGAACCAAGCAGAGACUCUCCAGGGUGCCUGGUCGCAUGGUACUAGGUAGGAUUUGCCAGCACAGCUCCGUCUCAGGGCUGCCCCAUGGCGGUGCUGAGGUUGAAUCAGCACAGAUCUUGGGCCAGAGAAGGCAGGAUCUGUAAAGCAGACCUCUGAUGAGGGGCAUGGCCUAGAGUGGGGAUGGAGAGAGAGCCCUGUUCAGGCUUUCAAGUGAGGGCAGUGGCUGCAGAGGCAAAGGAGAAAGAUGUAGGAGUGAGUGGCCAGCUGGCAUUCCUGAGAGGUGUCCUCAGGCAAGGGAGCCUCAGUGGACUGAUUCUUCUCUAGUAGCUGGCUGCUAGUCAGCCCUCCUCUGCAGAGGAGGGAAUGGCUCAGUGAAGGCCAGAAAUGGCAGACAAAGGCACAGGAUCUACACCAGCCUACAGAGCGAGCACCUUCCCUCAUCUUGAGGGGCCUACAGCCUAACAUGGCCAACCUAUAGCUGCCUGGCACCAGGCAUCUCUGGGAAGCUCCAGGAGCCAGAAGAAUCUCACAGAGACAACUGGUGCUCACACCACACCUACCCCCAACAAGUGGGAUGGGGGUUCACUUACACAUGGCUGUGAUCCAGGCACCUCUUCCCAUAGACAGUUGAUGCUGGCAAGACCAAGACCUAAGGACUACUGUCUCUCUGGAGUAUACAGGUACAACCUCGAUCCCUCCACACUGUUUCUUUGCUGUGGCCUCCUCAGUUUCCUCCUCUUCACAUAUAUCCUGCAAUCCAGUCACACCUUCAUGCUGGAAACCUCCAGGUGUGUGGGAGCUUGGGGAAGGGCAAGGUUCAGGGCCGCU